UACGGAGGUGGCAAGCGUUGUUCGGAUUUACUGGGCGUAAAGGGCGCGUAGGCGGCAAAUUAAGUCAGCUGUGAAGUCUCCGAGCUUAACUCGGAACUGUCAGCUGAUACUGAUCUGCUAGAGUGCGGAAGGGGCAAUCGGAAUUCUUGGUGUAGCGGUGAAAUGCGUAGAUAUCAAGAGGAACACCUGAGGUGAAGACGGGUUGCUGGGCCGACACUGACGCUGAGUGCGCGAAAGCCAGGGGAGCAAACGGG
rnacentral:rRNA from 1 species